AUUGAACGCUGGCGGCAGGCCUAACACAUGCAAGUCGAACGAGUGGCGGACGGGUGAGUCAUGUCUGGGAAACUGCCUGAUGGAGGGGGAUAACUACUGGAAACGGUAGCUAAUACCGCAUACCAUCAGAUGUGCCCAGAUGGGAUUAGCUUGUUGGUGGGGUACAGGCUCACCAUGGGGGAGAUCCCUAGCUGGUCUGAGAGGUUGACCAGACACACUGGAACGGAGACACGGUCCAGACUACUACGCGAGGCAGAAGUGGGGAAUAUGGCACAAUGGGCGCAAGCCUGAUGCGGCCAUGCCGGGUGUAUGAAGAAGGCCUUCGGGGUGUAAAGUACUUUCAGCGGGGAGGCGUUACCCGCAGAAGAAGCACCGGCUAACUCCGUGCCAGCAGCCGCGGUAAUAC
rnacentral:rRNA from 1 species